UGGUUUAUGAAUGAACAAUAAAACUGUCGAAAAUGAACUAAAAGGACGCGGUAUCCUGACCGUGGUAAAGUAGCAUAAUCAAUCGCCACUUAAUUAGUGGAUAGUAUGAAUGGUAUAACGAGUACAAAAUUGUCUCAGAUAAGGAUCUUAUGAAAUUGAAACAAUAGUCAAGAUGCUAUUUUAAACUGUAAGACGAGAAGACCCUAUAGAGCUUAACUACAACUCUUCCAAAAAUCAAUUACUAAAGAGAGAUAGAUAGUUUAGUUGGGGCGACUAUUUUCUAGAAAAAACGAAAACGAACAAAAUUAAUUAAAUAAUUUACKGUAUAAAAAAUAAAUUUAACAGUUAUUAUAAUAGGUAAUAAUGACCCGUUGUUAACAAAUAAAAGUAACAACGAUUAACAAAUAAAAGCUACCUUAGGGAUAACAGGAUAAUCUUGUUUCAGAGACCUUAUCGAAAACAAGGUUUGUCACCUCUAUGUUGAAUUAAGACAUCCUAAAAGUGCAGAAGCUUUUAAGGGUGGGUCUGUUCGACCCAUAAAGUCUU
rnacentral:rRNA from 1 species